GAUGAACGCUAGCUACAGGCUUAACACAUGCAAGUCGAGGGGAAACGACAUCGAAAGCUUGCUUUUGAUGGGCGUCGACCGGCGCACGGGUGAGUAACGCGUAUCCAACCUGCCCACCACUUGGGGAUAACCUUGCGAAAGUAAGACUAAUACCCCAUGGUCUCCACGGAUGGCAUCUGAAAUGGAGUAAAGGUUUCGGCCGGUUGCGGAUGGGGAUGCGUCCGAUUAGCUUGACGGCGGGGUAACGGCCCACCGUGGCAUCGAUCGGUAGGGGUUCUGAGAGGAAGGUCCCCCACAUUGGAACUGAGACACGGUCCAAACUCCUACGGGAGGCAGCAGUGAGGAAUAUUGGUCAAUGGGCGAGAGCCUGAACCAGCCAAGUAGCGUGCAGGAUGACGGCCCUAUGGGUUGUAAACUGCUUUUAUAAGGGAAUAAAGUGAGUCUCGUGAGACUUUUUGCAUGUACCUUAUGAAUAAGGACCGGCUAAUUCCGUG
rnacentral:rRNA from 1 species